GCUAUCGUAGUGUAACGGUUAACACACUGGGUGCGUAUUCGAGAGGUCCAAGGUUCGAGUCCUGGCGUGCGCA
rnacentral:tRNA from 1 species